rnacentral:rRNA from 1 species
GUCCUUUAGAGAUAAUUAAAGGUUUAACCUGCCCACUGAGAAAUUUUAAAUGGCCGCAGUAAAUUGACUGUGCAAAGGUAGCAUAAUCAAUAGUUUUUUAAUUGAAAGCUUGUAUGAAUGGUUGGACGAGAUAAAAUCUGUCUUUAUUUAAUAGAUAAAAUUUAAUAUUUAAGUUAAAAAGCUUAAAUAAAAUUAAAAGACGAGAAGACCCUAUAGAUCUUUAUAAUAAAUUAAUUAUUUAUAUUAAAGAUUAGUUUAUAUUUUAUUUAUGUUAUUAUUAUAUUGGGGUAAUAGAGAGAUUUAACAAAUUCUUUUUAAAAAUUGACAAUAAUUUUUGAUUUAUUGAUCCAUUAAUUAGUGAUUAAAAGAUUAAGUUACCUUAGGGAUAACAGCGUAAUUUUUUUAGAGAGUUCAUAUCGAUAAAAAAGUUUGCGACCUCGAUGUUGGAUUAAAAAUUAUUCUAGGUGUAGUAGUUUAGAAUUUUGGUCUGUUCGACCAUUAAAUUUUU